AACGUAGGACGCAAGCGUUAUCCGGAGUUACUGGGCGUAAAGCGCGGGCAGGCGGUGCUUCAAGUCCGAUGUGAAAGCUCCCGGCUUAACCGGGAGAGGCCAUUGGAAACUGGAGGACUGGAGGGCAGUAGAGGUAGGCGGAAUUCCGGGUGGAGUGGUGAAAUGCGUAGAGAUCCGGAGGAACACCAGAGGCGAAGGCGGCCUACUGGGCUGCACCUGACGCUGAGCCGCGAAAGCCAGGGGAGCGAACGGG
rnacentral:rRNA from 1 species